AACCACCUUUUGGGGCUUCGCUACUCUAGCCCUUCAGGGACCUCCCUCCCAUUCUCUCCCUUUAUUCUUGCGUCAAGGACAGCCAGUGCAUGGUCAGCAGAGUGUGGGAGGCGUUGGCUGCGGCUACACGCAGCGCCUUCCCUAGGCUGCGACCGCUACGUCGUGGCCUGGUCCUUGCGUAGCUGCUUAUAAAGAUUUAAGUUUCAGCCUUGCUCCUCUUGACCAUACUUCCAGUCUCCCGGCUCCUAUAUACCUCUGAAAUGCAGGAAUUGAUGCGUUGGGCCAGCCUAAAGUGAAUGGGGAACCGGAGAUCAUUUCUUCCAAGGCGUUAAAUUCUUAUAUUUAUGCCCGAAAGUCCUUUACUGGAGCUGCAUGCAUUUUUAUGUGCGUGGCUCAGCCCGUGCUAACGCGGAUUCCUGACUUCCAAUUCCAGGUGGAAUUCCUUGCUAGUCAGCCUUGGCCUCUAGAAAUCCAGAGGGUAGUUUUUGUUAAAAGGAGACCGAGAGAAGACAAAUUUUAAGAGGUGGGAGACAGGGUGGAGUGCGUUGGUGGAAUGUUGGGGGAAGGGUGGACUUGCAAACUCUGGAAACUCCACAGAAUCUAAGGAGAGGCUCGGAUUCUGCUGCGAGGUGAGAUGAGCGGUAGAGAGCUGAGGUCUGAUGGAAGGAAGGCAGUUUAAUAAGGAGUGGCCCUAUCUAACCCUGGCCUGGGACCACGCCCUCAGUAUUCUAUCCGCUUCCGCGGAAGGCUGGGAGGGAGUCAGACAGACCUGUUAGAGCACAGGGAAGGAAGACGCUCUGAGGGCCGUAAGGAACGGUGUCUCGAAAGUAUCAGCAAGCUGCCGUCUAGAUGAGCAUAGCUUCAGCCUAGGGGUAGGACCGACCGGCCCUCCUCUUUCUCUUUGCUCUCAGCCCCGCAGCUCAGAGCACCAGGCUCAUAUCUCAUCUCUUCUCGGAGUGUGGCUGCAGUACCUGGACUUUUGUGGUUUUUUUAACCUCAAGUGUGAGUGACUGACUCUAAUCUCUUGCACACAAUCCGGGAGUGUACCCUGAACUGGAACUCUGUCCUGGAUCCAACUCUUGCAGGCUUCACAGGGAGGAGCAGGCUCUGGAGGCCCAACCUUGGGAAGGCACCACGACUGCAGUGCACUGGGGCCAAGUGGUGGACUUAAAGUCGGCAGUUUCGGAUUGGCCUGAGAAAAAGUUCCAGAAGCACUAGAAGCUUUGUAAGAAUGUGCUGGCUGGAAAAGAAGCGAGCUCUGCGUCCCCGGGAGUAUGCAAGCCUGGGCUAAACAACUUGGAGAGCAUGUAGGCCGUACUCUGUAAUUUGGAAGACCUGGGGGCUGCAGGUUUGUUCCAUAAGGAGGGGAUGGCUGUGCCUCUACCCAAGUUGGCCCUCAAGGACACCGUCACCCUCUCCCAGUACCACUACACUCUGCCUUAGACUUCCCCAUUCACUUUAUUUUCGAGUCUGUGGAGGGAGAAAGCAGAAAAGGCCCGGUUCCCCGCCCGCGCGUCGCUUCCUUUCCCGCUCCCUCUGCAGCACUUAAAAUGUAAAUGCACAUCGUGAUUAGCCGCGGGGUCGCUAAUUACAGCUGAAGCCAUUCAUUACGCUGUCAGCUCUCUCUCUGUCUCCCACCGGCUGUGCGCUCCCUCCCGGCCGGGGGGAGGGGGCAGCGGAGGAGGUGAUGGGGGGAAGGAUGCGGGGACUGCUCGGUGCUGGCAGCCUUAAAGCCCAGAACUAGCAGAGGGGCGGUGAGCCGAAGAAAGCGGUUGGACCGUGAAGAGGGAGAAACGCGGGAGGCUGGAAGGAAGAUUAAGUGAGGAGGAUGAAGAGGAAGGUGGAGAGUGGCAGAAUCAGCUUUUCUGAAUGCUCUCUGGAUAGCGUCCUCCUUCACAUCCUGUAGAGUCGGGCUCCUGAUAAACAACGUCAUUUCACUGCUGCACAGCCCCUUAGGGUCUGCUGAACUGGAAAGACACCUGCAAAAAGAAAAAAAGAAACAACCAAGUCUCCCUCAUGGAGGUCACCUCUCUUCAUUACAGUUGCCCCUGUCUCUUGGAUACUGAGAGUGGAUACAGCUCUUUCAUAAACCAUCCCUGACAGCACCAUCUCGCACCCUGCCAUCCCAGAACAGAGUCCCAAAUCAAGCUAGAUGAUGCUGGGUUCCUCCCAGUACUUGGUCAGAUUCCCUUUAUGACAGUGAGUGUCCCCAGUCGCCAGCCAGCAGGUAAUUAACUGUAUUUCCUUCUCUUGAGUGGAAGAUGAAGUUAAUCAAACCUACUGUUUUGAAGAAAAUCACCAAGCACCUUGAUCUAUUCUGGCAGACAGCAUAUUUUAUAUAUUUGAACAAUGGGAAAGAACAUAUUUUGCUUUCAGAAUGGCUGGAAGAAUUCUCUCUGCCCCCAGAUGACCCAGGCUUGCUGAUUAAUGAUCUGUCCGGUGACCCUCACCUCAGGACAGAUAGAAAUGGUUUUGUUUUAAUGUUUUUAUCUUCUAUUAUUGAGUGUGUGUGUUCGGUAUGAUGUAUGUGCAUGUCGGGGUCAGAGGACGACUCUGUGGAAUUGGUUCUGUCCUUCCAACGUUAGUGGGUUUCAGGGAUCGAACAAUCUGACUCAGGCUGCCCGACAGGCUUCGUUUGCCCUUAAUUGUGGAACCAACCUGCUAGUGCUGGGAUUAAAGGUGUGUGCCACCACUGCCUGAUUUAUAUUUAUAACUCUUACAUGUUACUUUUACCUUAAUAACAUUUCAGGGUAAUGAAACAAACUGGAAAAAAACCAUUUUGUUCAAAUUUUGGCCGUGUAAAACAACCAUCUGUUACAGUCUCAGAUUCUGUGGACUGAGAAUUUAGGCAGUACAUAGAGAGGGUGGACUGUCUUUUUUCGGUGACAUCUGAGGUUUCAGCUAGGGGAUGCCAAGGCUGGAAGCUAUGAUAAUCUAAAUACUGGUGAAGGCUGUUGGCUGAUGCCGAGGGGUGGGAGUUUUCAAUCUGCAUGUAGUCCUUCUGCUUGGAUUACCUUGGACUUGUGACAGCAUGCCCGGAUGCUGAGGAUGAAGAGCUGGUAAGAGAAUGAGAGCCAAGCUGUGAGCCCAGGCCAUCUUUUGGUCCAGGUUUGGGUGUCAUCUGUAGCUCCUGUCUCAUGCCCUCACAAAGGAUAUUAUGAAGCUCUGCCCAGGCUCUCAGGAAGAAGGAGUAGGCUCCACUUUUUCCUCCUUUUUUUUUAAUUAAUAAAAAAUGUUUGGCUUUGA